rnacentral:lncRNA from 1 species
GUACACCUGCACCGUGUGCAGCAAGGCUCUGACCACCAAGCACUCACUGCUGGAGCACAUGAGCCUGCACUCAGAAGUCUUUUACCUGUGAUCAAUGCGGAAAAUAUUUCAGCCAGAACAGACAGCUAAAGAGCCAUUACCGAGUUCAUACAGGCCACUCAUUACCGGAAUGCAAAGACUGCCAUCGCAAAUUCAUGGAUGUGUCUCAGCUAAAGAAACAUCUGCGAACACACACAGGUGAGAAGCCAUUUACUUGUGAAAUCUGUGGCAAAUCUUUCACAGCAAAGAGUUCUCUU